rfam:Poecilia formosa, whole genome shotgun sequence.
GCAGGUUGAGGUAGUAGUUUGUGCUGUUGGCCGGGUCGACGUGAUGCCCCAUAUGGAGAUGACUGCGCAAUCUACUGCCUUGCCGGC